rnacentral:rRNA from 1 species
UACGUAGGGUGCAAGCGUUAAUCGGAAUUACUGGGCGUAAGGCGUGCGCAGGCGGUUUUGUAAGUCUGACGUGAAACGCCCCGGGCUCAACCUGGGAAUUGCGUUGGAGACUGCAAGGCUUGAAUCUGGCAGAGGGGGUAGGAAUUCCACGUGUAGCAGUGAAAUGCGUAGAGAUGUGGAGGAACACCGAUGGCGAAGGCAGCCCCUGGGUCAAGAUUGACGCUCAUGCACGAAAGCGUGGGGAGCAAACAGGAUUAGAACCUCCGUAGUACGU